rnacentral:rRNA from 1 species
GACGAACGCUGGCGGCGUGCCUAAUACAUGCAAGUAGAACGCGGUUGCGAACGGGUGGGUAACGCGUAGGUAACUGCCUCAUAGCGGGGGGUAACUAUUGGAAACGAUAGCUAAUACCGCAUACUGUGAGAUGGACCUGCGUUGUAUUAGGUAGUUGGUGAGGUAAAGGCUCACCAAGGCGACGAUACAUAGCCGACCUGAGAGGGGGGAUCGCCACCACGGGACUGAGAAAAGGCUCCGAACUCUACGGGGAGCCGCAGGAGGGAAACGUCGGCGAUGGACGGAAGUCUGACAGAGCCACGCCGCGGGAGUGAAGAAGGGGUUCGGAGUGGAAAGCUCUGUUGUGUGAGAAGCGGUAACUAACCAGAAAGGGACGGCUAACUACGUGCCAGCAGCCGCGGUAAUUC